rnacentral:sRNA from 1 species
AGUGGUUUCAUGAUCGUCGUGAGGAAUCACAGAGUUGCACAAGUGUGCUGACCCUAGCUCAGGAAGAUAAACUCUUCAAGACUCUAGAGGAGGCAAGGAAGGUAUAUGUAGAAUCACUAGAUUAGUUUCGCUUCUCCGCGAGAUGUGCACGUAAUUUCGGAUACACCAUCAACUUGAAUGAUAACACGUGCACGUGUAGACAGUUUCAGUUGUAGAGUUUUCCGUGUACACAUAUAGUAGCGAUGGCUAUUUAUAGAUGAAUUCCACCACACACCUUAUGCAGUGCUUAUUACACGACUGGUUCUUGGAGAGCAGCAUAUGCCGAAACCAUAUUUCCUAUACCGAAUGAAGUCGAGUGGGAAGUUCCUGAUCAUAUUCUCUCAUUGAAUAACUUGUUGCCACCAGCAGUCGGCCCAUGUACUCCUGGACAUACACAUACGUCUAGAAUACCAUCGACUGAAAAAAAAUUUCGACCUCGUAAAUGCGACAGGUGCGGUGCAACAGAACAUAUUAUAAAAUACAAGUCAGACCCCUCUGCAUGAUAACGUAACAGAUAUAUAAUUGAAGUUUAUGUAACAUUAUUUAUAACAUUGAUAUUAAUUAUUCACGCAUAUUCUUAAUGUUAAAUAUUUAUGUUAAUUAUUAGAUUUAGUUUUUUUAUUUUAAUAAUUCAUUAAUUAGUUCGUAAUAUUUGAAGUUAAUCAUUUUUUAAAACUCAGUGCAUUCUCCAUAAUAUACUCAAAUAUUAUAAAUACG